rnacentral:rRNA from 1 species
UACGGAGGGUGCGAGCGUUGUCCGGAUUUAUUGGGUUUAAAGGGUGCGUAGGUGGCUUUAUAAGUCAGUGGUGAAAUACAGCCGCUCAACGGUUGAGGUGCCAUUGAUACUGUAGAGCUUGAAAUAAUUGGAGGCUGCCGGAAUGGAUGGUGUAGCGGUGAAAUGCAUAGAUAUCAUCCAGAACACCGAUUGCGAAGGCAGGUGGCUACGAUUUAUUUGACACUGAGGCACGAAAGCAUGGGGAGCAAAC